rnacentral:rRNA from 1 species
GCCCCAAAUUUAGCCUUAUGUUACUUUAUAAAUUUAACAGUCUUAAAUUUAUUUAAUAAAACAUUUUAACUCCUUAAGUAAAGGCGAUUGAAAAAGAUCUAAGCGCUAUAGAAACAGUACCGCAAGGGAAAAAUGAAAUAAUAAUGAAAUAAUUAAAGCUACUUACAGCAGAGCAUUUACCUCGUACCUUUUGCAUCAUGGCCUAGCAAGACUUAACAAGCAAAACGAAAUUUAAGUUUUAAAUCCCGAACCUAGGCGAGCUACUUUAAAACAGCCUUUUGGGCCAACCCGUCUCUGUAGUAACAUAGUGGGAAGAUUUUUAAGUAGAAGUGAAAAGCCUAUCGAGCCUAGAAAUAGCUGGUUAUUCAUGAAAAGAAUAUAAGUUCUGCCUUAAGUUUCCCCCAUGGUCCCUAACAACAUUUUAAACUUAAGAGUUAUUUAAAUAAGGAACAGCUUAUUUAAGACAGGACACAACCUAGACAAUAGGGUAAAAUCUUAAUUACUCCCAAGUGGGCCUGAAAGCAGCCACCUUUUAAAAAGCGUCAAAGCUUAACCUUAACUCCCUAAAAUACCAUUAACCUUUAUGAACCCCUAAUUUAUAAUGAAUGACUCCAUAUAAUUAUGGAAGACACCAUGCUAGGAUUAGUAACAAGAAUUUAUAAUUCUCCAAAAUGCAAACAUAAACCAAUAUGGAUAAACCAUUGGUAAUUACCGAACCUGAACUUACUGCAAUAACAUCUACAAGAAAACCCUGCAGUAUUUACUCGUUAACCUAACACCAGCGCAUUUCAGGAAAGAUUAAUAAAAAGAGAAGGAAUUCGGCAAAUGACGACCCCGCCUGUUUACCAAAAACAUCGCCUCUUGACUUAUAAAUAAGAGGUCCAGCCUGCCCAGUGAAUUUUUAACGGCCGCGGUAUCCUAACCGCGCGAAGGUAGCAUAAUCACUUGUUCUUUAAAUGGGGACUCGUAUCAACGGCAUCACGAGGGUUAUACUGUCUCCUCUUUUUGAUCAGUGAAAUUGAUCUUCCCGUGAAGAAGCGGGAAUACUUAUAUAAGACGAGAAGACCCCAUGGAGCUUUAAACCAAAUAGCAACUUAACCAUAUAUUGCCCAAUAACUUUAAGCCCGUGCUACAAGGUUUUUGGUUGGGGUGACCGCGGAGUAAAGCACAUCCUCCACGACGGAAAGACUAUAAUCUUUAUUUAAGAACUACAAUUCUAGAAAUUAGUAUACUAACGUUUACUGACCCGACAAUCGAUCAACGGAACAAGUUACCCUGGGGAUAACAGCGCAAUCUACUUCAAGAGCCCAUAUCGACAAGUAGGCUUACGACCUCGAUGUUGGAUCAGGGUAUCCCAGUGGUGCAGCCGCUACUGAAGGUUCGUUUGUUCAACGAUUAAAAC